rnacentral:rRNA from 1 species
UACGGAGGGUGCAAGCGUUAAUCGGAAUUACUGGGCGUAAAGCGCACGCAGGCGGAUGGAUAAGUUUGGUGUGAAAGCCCCGGGCUCAACCUGGGAAUUGCAUUUAAAACUGUUGAGCUAGAGGGUUGUAGAGGGGGGUAGAAUUCCAGGUGUAGCGGUGAAAUGCGUAGAGAUCUGGAGGAAUACCGGUGGCGAAGGCGGCCCCCUGGACAAAGACUGACGCUCAGGGGCGAAAGCGUGGGGAGCAAACAGG